UACUAUUUAAAUUGAGUUAUGCAGGUUAUAUUUUAUAUAUUUAACUUAAUUUAAACCAACUGAAAAAAUAAACUAUAACAACUUAUUCCCUAGUUGAAAAUUGCCACAUCUUUCAAUUAAUGAAAUAUGUUUAGGUAAGUUAAAAUAGCAGCUAUUGACAAUUGAUAUAACAAGAUAGAUUUUGUUUAUUUUAAAAAGAAAGUGAAAUUUCUCUACCAAUUAUGAAAGGUUGUUUCUUCCUCCAAGAUACAUUUUUGCCGCUGUUUCAUCACUGGUUGUUUCUCUUCAAAUCUCAAAUUCAAAUCUAAAGCACAAAAUCUAUCAACGCAAGAGAAAGAGAACAAAACAAAUGCUCUGAUUCCAAAAGCUACCUUUGAGCAGUAAGAAAAGUAACAAAUAUACCUCAAUGAAACGAAACCUCAGAAAUAUCCAAAGCUCAAUCACCAUGAACAAUCACGGAUGAAGACGAAACACAUUACAAAGAUUAGAGAGACAAAUGAAGAACCAAGCGAUGAGCAAAGUGGAGAAUUGGGCGAUGAACGAGAGUAGCAAACAAACAAUGCGAAAGCGAAAAAUGUAUUUUCAUUGGUAUGUGGUAACAUUUGAUCUUCCAGGUGUUACUGAAAGUGUCAAAUAAGGAGUCUCUGCAACAUUUUCUUAAAUGUUAUAGAUAAAAUGUUGCAACAUGUCAUAUAUGUACUAGUGUUCUUCUAGUAAGAAANCACAGAGAGAUAGUACUUUUCCUGAACGACUCGUCUUUCGGGAAGAGUGCUUCGAGAAUCUCAAACGCACCCAAAGCAGGCUUAAGAGCCAAGACUUCUCCUCGGCCAUCCAUGAAGAGGAGAGGACAUACACUAUACUCGCUAGCGACGCGAUUGCCUAUCAGGAAGACAGGAAUAACCCACGGCAUCAACAUACACUUAAAUAAGCAUCAUCUUGUGGCUAGCAAUAUCCUAAGACAUUACAAAUACAACUAAAGAUACGCUAGAGAGGCUUCGGCCAAAUGCUGGCAAUAAUGUGUAUCGGUAAAAAAGAAGAGAUCCGCGGAAGAGCAACACAAAAGAACGUGCAAACAUGCAGACUACUGUACUAGCACUGUACUAUCACGCCUGAUGAGGAAGCUAAAGUGCAAGCUCUACAUUGGAUGACAACUAAUACUUUGCUUAAAUCUCUCUUGAAAUGUGCGGAGCUAAUCGAGUUUGUGGAUCAACUUGUGCAAUAAACUUGCAUCGCCGCUGCAUUUCAGCCAGGGAAUGUAGGAAAAUUCGGUAACGAACCGAUUGAUUCUUAGUACCAACAUUAGCGGAAAGUUUGGUUAAUCACCGAGGAUACGCUCAAAUUGAAAUGCGCGUAAGACGAUGGAGUGCUAAUACUGUUUUUCAAAGAAAUUGCAGUAAAGCAUGCAACACUGUCGACAUGUCUGUGGAACUGAUGAUUUACAACUCGCAUAUGUAAAGACUAUAAGAUAUGAUUGAAAGAGAAAAAAGAUGUAAAAGAAGCUGAGUAAUAAUCAGAUGCGCAAAGGCAGAUGUUCGAGCAAAAAGAGCAUAUGAAGACUGUUUUUUUGGAUAUCGCUUAAUAACGCACAUUUUCCACGAUGCGUUAUUAUUGAUUUAAAUUUGUACACAACACAGUACGUCAGUCUCUAUUAUAAUGUAGGCUCAAUUUUUUUUUUCCGCAUAGCGUGAGUUAAUAUCCUUCAUAACUGAACACCAAUGAUAGAACAACUGUAUAGCACUACAUUAACAUACCAUAUAAAACAAUUUUUUUAUUCCUGGAAAGGACCACUCUCCGAAAUAAUGAUUCGACGGGAAGCAUAUGCAUCUCCGGACGUACAAUUCAAAUAUAAAUGGGGGCUCUGAAUUUCAGGGGUGUAUAUUGCAUAAAUGUUAAUAAUAUUGAAUGCUCAUAAAUGUGGAUUCUACGCAACAAGCACCAAUUGCUCAAAAUAUGUUAAUAUAUUUCAGAAAAUAACAGGCCUCCGAAGAUGUGCAUCUUGCCGGAAAUUGAAACGGCAGUUUCCAUAAUUUGCCUAAGCCUGUUUUAAGACAAUCUUGCAAGAUGCUUAUACUUGAAAAUUAUAUCGAUAGCCGGCUAUGACUAUUGAUAAUUUUAUUUAUGUUUUCAUAUUGUUGCAGACCAAUCCGAAUACCAGGGAGAAAAGUGUUAGCAGUUGCCAAAAACAAGAACAAAAGCGUCUUGUUUCUUCUUCCGGUCGGUUCGCCGUCUUGCACUCGCAUUCACUCUAUUGUCAGUACUAUGAAAAACGAAUGGGGCAACCGAUCCGUUUAAUAGUGUUAUCAAAAAAUCUAAGAACCCAUUGCUGUCAAAUGCGUAUUCUCAUUCAUCUCUUGCUUGCACUGCCAACACCCAUUCCGCAUUCUUCUUCUUCUUCUUGCUCACAUCGGGUUCCUGCCAACCAGAGUUGCCAGAACUCAUUGCUCCCGGCCAAUGCAGACCCUCUUCUGCGCGCAAAGAAAUUCUUCCGAUUACGCUUCUCUCCAACCCAAUUUCCGACCACAACUACUCCACCGUACCUCAUUCUCAUUCCUCAAAUCGGUGCGCUCCAAACACUUCUCUUCUCCUCGACCGAUCUCGCUCCGUCGGCCUCAAUCGAAUCCAACCGCAUUACCCCCACCCUCUUCUCUUACCUAAUCAAAAUCCUACGGCGAGAGCCAAUUUACUCUGACAAAGCCUCAACACAUUCUAGCCCAUGCUUCAAUUCAAUAUCAGACCUUUAAAACACACCUUAAGCCGCCAUUCUUGAGAUUCUCGUUUCUCGCCGGAAUUAUGUUCGACCGCUUUCGAUCUCUUUAAGGAUGCUCAAUAGACAUGGUGUGGCUCCUGAUACGUAGAUCGAUAUAACAUUCUCAUGCGGGCUUUUUUGUCUUAAGGUACCAUCAGUAUUGAGCAUACACACUGUUAUGAACAAAAUGUUUAAGAGAGAUGUUGUUCGCUGAUAUGCAGCUCUUAUAGGAUUUUGAUGCAGGCUUUUCUGUAGAAGAGUCAAGUUAAUGGAGCUGUUGAUCUUUGAGGUAUAUGCUUGAAUAAAGGGUUGUUGUCUCCUGAUUCUUGACUUAUACUACUUGUUGAAUAGUUUGUGUAGGAAAGAAGAAGCUUAGGGACGCUAUAAGCUUCUUCUGUAGGAUGAAGGUUAAAGGGUGAUAAUCCUGAUAUAGUCAUUACAAUACGGUUAUAUUAGGGUUUUGUAGAGAAGGGCGAGCUCGAUGAUGCUUGCAAGGUUAUCGAUGAUAUGCGGCGCGAAUGGGUGUUUGCGCGAAUUUUGUUCUCUAUAGCGACUUUGGUAAUGGUUUGUCGUCAUUUGGGAAUGUUUGAUGAGGCAAGGCAGUAUGUGGAGAACAUGGCUUUCCAAAGGUUUUUCUCCACACUUUGCUGUCAUGCCAUGCUUUGGUGAAUGGCUUUUUGCAAUGUUGGUAGGGUUGAGGAAGCCUGUGGAGUUCUCACGAGUUCGCUAGACCAUGGGGAAGCUCCUCAUAAGGAUACUUGGAUGAUUGUGGUACCUCAAAUAUGUGAAGCUGGAGGAAGGAGGAUGUGAGCAAUUGGUGGUGUUUUGGAGGACAUGUCUUAAGAUUGAAAUCAAUAGGUGAUACUAGAUUGUGGAUGCUCGGCAUUGGUUUGGAAGACUACUUGAUUAGGAAGAUAACGGGCUAAGGCGAGUCAGUUUUAAACUUUUUUGUAAUAUAAAAACCGACAAGCUUGCGUUUGUCAUCCAUGUAAGAUAUUUGUAUUCGUAAGCAUUAACGGUGACGAGAUAUCAUUUGAUUAUUCUUACUAGAAGAACACUAGUAGCAUAACGGUUAUGAAAGAAUUUUUGUUUUAUGAACAGCAAUUGAUCGUUAGAAUAUUGACUUCGAGCAUAAAAUGAGGUCAUUUUGUUAGGUAUGAUGUUUUGAUUGUAAACUUGGAGCUUCGAGUGAAGAGCUGAGAGUUACAAUCUUGCUUCUUCUCAUACAGCUCCAUAAAACAAUAGCCGUUUAUCAAACAGGAAUGAAACCAAUUUCAUUCUUUUUGUAAAUUUUUAUGGCAUAAAUUCGUGUAACAUUAUCAACAACAUUGGUAUUAAAUCAGUUUACGGUUUGUUUUAGGAUUAAAAUCUUUUUCUUACUUAGCUACAUAGUAAAAUAAAAUAUUUUUUGGUUUUAUAUAUCUGCAAGCACGCAGAUGAUAGUUGAAGGUUUUCGCUAGUAUUUUUUUCUUCACCAAAGUUUGAACUCUGGUCCUUUAAUCCUUUGCUCAAACCAGUUAAGCUACCCAACCCAACCCAUGAAAUAAGCAAAGAUAAGUGUUAGAAACUAAGACCUGGCAAGCUAAACAAUAAAUGCUUGGACACAAAGAUAAGUGUUAGAAUUUAAGGCCUGGUAAGCGAAACAAUAAAAGCUUGGACUUAACUGCUACUGUGGGAAUGGCCACGUUCUGCUUUUUUUCUUUCUUUCUUCAGAAUUGGUAAUCUAAGGGUGUAAAUCGAUUAACACUUCUCACACUCUUCAAUAAUUGAGUUUCUUUUUCAAAAGAAUAAGUGUCAAAGUUAUUGCAAUCAAGCAUUCUUUGCAUGUCGAACAUGUGUGAUACGACAUUGUAAUAAUUGUAUGGCAUGGAGAUAUAUAAAUCAAUUUUCAGAUGCUUCUAAGAAAUUGUCUUGUGAUGAUUUGAAAGCUGAGUGUUACAAUGGGAAUUCUGUUAUCAAUCCACACUUAUCGCUAACCUGAUAGGUUUUGGCAUAAGAUUAGUUUUAUAUCUCUAACGCCAACCAUACUUAGAGCUAAUAUGAUAGGUUUAGGCAUAAGAUUAGUUUUACAUAUCUCUUAACACCAACCAACAAAUAUAGCUAACAUGAUAGGUUUAGGCAUAAGGUUAGUUGUGGAUAUUAAGGGUUCAAUUGGGUUCUCAAUAUUCUAUUCAUGAUUAUAUAUAAUCUAUUGGCUCUUGUUGUGUCUUGUAUAAUAAAAUAAACCACUUUAUUUUGUUAAAUAUAAAUUCUAUUAUAUUGAUUUAUUUUCAGGGCAACAAUGGCAUCCAUCUCAGCUGUGAAUAUUUCCCCACUAUGCAUGUUUCAACCCGCAAACCGCAUUCAAUCAACCAGUGCUACCUUAGUGAAGUGCCCUUCCGCUUUUGGCUCUAUGAGAAGUGUUUCCAGAUCUUUUGGCUUGAAGUCAUCCUCUUCAUAUAGAACAACUGCCAUGGCUGCUUACAAGAUUAAGCUAAUUGGACCAGAUGGAAAAGAGGACGAGUUUGAAGCUGCUGAUGAUGUCUACAUCUUAGAUGCAGCAGAGAAUGCCGGAGUCGAACUCCCUUACUCGUGCCGUGCUGGAGCGUGCUCUACUUGUGCUGGAAAGGUUGUUUCUGGCUCAGUGGAUCAAUCUGAUGGCUCAUUCUUGGAUGAUACUCAACUUAAGGAAGGCUUUGUGCUUACCUGUGUUUCCUAUCCCACAGCAGACUGUGUUAUCCAAACUCAUAAGGAAGGUGAACUCUACUGAGAAAUUGUGGCUUGAAAGUUAAAACCAUUGCUCGAGGAAACUGAGAAUUUAAGGUAGAUUUUAUGGCGGAUUUUGCUUUAGAAUCUAUCUUUCUUUUAGCAUUAUUAAUAGUGAUAUGGGUUUUAGAAGAUGGUAAGUUUGACAUUUAAAUGUGAUCAAGGGUGUUAUUUUAGUUAUGAAGAACAUGAUGAAGUAUUUGGAGGAAGAAACAACCUUUCAUAAUUGGUAGAGAAAUUUCACUUUCUUUUUAAAAUAAACAAAAUCUAUCUUGUUAUAUCAAUUGUCAAUAGCUGCUAUUUUAACUUACCUAAACAUAUUUCAUUAAUUGAAAGAUGUGGCAAUUUUCAACUAGGGAAUAAGUUGUUAUAGUUUAUUUUUUCAGUUGGUUUAAAUUAAGUUAAAUAUAUAAAAUAUAACCUGCAUAACUCAAUUUAAAUAGUAACUAUUUUUUUGAUACGUAUAACAGUGAGAAAGCUAGCAAAUUUGAAGAUUUGAUAUUAUUGUCCUUUGCAAUGUUUACCUAUGUAUGUUUCAAAAUUCAAAGAACAAUAUAUUAGUUUGAUUUUUAAAAUCAUUUUGACAAAACUUCGAUUUUAAAUAGAUUUUGAUUUUAAUCAAAAUUAUUUAAUUUAAUUUAAAUUUUAUUUUUUUUAAAUUAAUAUUAAUUUUUAAAAUUUAAAACCAUAAAUAAAUUUUAUGAGAUUUUAAAAUAUUAUUUCUUUUAAAAUUUAAAAAAACAUAAAAGAAACAAAUUCUUUAGAAAAAAAAUUGAAAUAAUAAAAUUAUUUUCUGAAAAUGAAAAAAAAAAAUUGAAAACAAAAAAAAUCUUUAAAAAAAGUUAUUCCAAAAAAUAAAAAUAACUGAAAAAAAUUUAUUUAAAGAAAAAUGGAAAUUGGAAAUAAAAAAAUUAUAAAAAUACAAAAUAUUUUUUAUUCUGAAAUUAUAAAAAAUUAUUAUUUAAAUUUUUUUUUUGAAAUUAAAUUUUUUUUUAUUCUGAAAAUUUGAAAAAUUAAUUUACUGAAAAAAAUAUAAAAUAUUUUUUAUUUAGAAGAAAAUAAUAAUUUUAUUUGAAAAAAAUAUUAAAUUAAAAAAAUUCUGAAUAUAAUAUUUUUUGUAAAAAAAUAUUUUUAAAAUAAUUUUUUUAUGAAAUUUAAAAAUAUUUAAAAUAUAAAAUUAAUUUUAAUGUGAUAAAAAUGGAAAGAGACAAAAAUAAAAAUUUUAGUAAAAUUUAGAUAUCCAAUAACAAAACCUAAUUUUUAUAAUGGAUAACAGUUUAUAUUUGAAUAACAAAAUGAAUAUUCAAAUUUUUAUUUUAAUAUUUGGUUUGAUUUUUUAAAAAUAGAAUAAUUUAAUACUAAUUUAAUUAUGAAUAAACCGUUUUUUUUCACAUCCCUAUAUAUCAUAGUCAUUUUUCUUGCUAACUAAAUAUUUAUUUUCACAGCUUAUAAAAUAUUUUGCCAUGUCAGCAUCUGUAAUAAAUUAUACGAAUUAAAAAAAAGGAUAAAAAUAAUGCUUUCCAACCACAAAUCAAAUUUAAGAAUCUAUUACUAGUAAAAUAAGUGUUAACAUCUUAUACCGUCCACUUGAAAUAAUUGAUUUAUAAUUAGUUUUAUAAAAAUUAAAUAUUUAAACACUAAUAUAUUUUACUCCAAAAAGUAUAAUAACAUAUAUAACAAAUUAUUUAUACAAUAGCAACUAAGUUUUAUUCCACUAAUAUGGUCUUAUCUUCUGGACUAUAGUUUUUUUUAAGUGUUUCUCUAUAUCUAAGUGUUUGAUUCAUUUUCAUUUAACAUAUCUUCUUUAGAAAAUUGCGUAAGACAUCAUAAAGAUUGUUACUAUACUUUCGUAAAAAAAUAAAAAUAUUUUUAAGAUUCAGAGAUGUAUUGUUAGACUAAUCCCAAAUAUAUUUGGUUCUCAGUCUGAUCUUAAGACUAUGUAAAAAAAAUUACGGAAAUUAAUCUUCCUAUAAAUUAUGGAGAUGCUUCUCUUGACACUAUUUUAAUAAAAAAUACGUCAGAUUCUUUCUCAUUCCUCGCUUUUUAAAAUACUCUCUCAACUCCUAUUCUCUCAUAGUCAUUCAACUCACUUUAAAUUUUCUUUCAUCAACAUCAAAUCGAUCAAAGAGUUUACUCAACAUCAAACUAAACUCACAAUUGAUAAGUUUAUGAUUUUUUUUUUUAAUUUCUAUAUACAUUUGUAGGAAUUGAGCAUUAAGUUAUGUAAUAUGUAAUUUAGAUAUGUUAGUGAAAUGAAUAAUGUGUUUAAUAGAUAGUUUAAAUGAUCAAUGCAUUAUUUUGGAUGUUGGUAUAAACUGCAUUUCCGCCAUUAACAUGCUUUUGAGUUGUAGUACCUUAUGGAGAUGCAUCUCUAGAUUUUUUCAAUGUUUUGAUUUCUAGAAUCUAGAGAUGUAUCUCCGGAACUUUUUCAGUUUGCUUUGUUUGGCUUGAUCUCAUUGUGUUUCAUAUGUAUAAUGCUUGUGUGAUUUACUUACAGACAAUAUGGUUGAUAACCUAGAUAGAUUGAGGCAUAACAGAGUUGCACAUCAUGCAUAGAGGGAAAAAGCUCGCUCAUCGCAUGCACCUGUUGUUUUUAGCCCGAUUGAUGCGAGAGCGUCAACUUUUGAGGCUCAUGCAUUUCCACCUUACAUGUGUCACCUACUCAGACACCUGAGGCACUGGAGGCACCUAAGGCUCCGCAGGCACCUGAGGCACACGAGGGAUUUGGAGGAGGUCCUUCAGACUUAUUACUCCUGCGUCUAUACCCGAACCAUGAUGCCAGACAUGUCUAGGACGGAAAGGUAAAAUUAAGUUGUAUUCCUUCUUUGAAAUAUCAUUUUUAUAAUAUUCGAAGUUUUCGACGAUGAGUUAUUUUCCUGCAGGACCAUGAUGCCUUAAAAUUUAUCAACCAUGGUCAAAAGAUUACGGGUCAACAACAACCUAAUGAGCAUUGGUCUAAGGAUGUGAUGCAACUAUCUGGGCUGAGAGACUUAUGCAAUAUCGAUUAUGUUACAGUUAACCAUGGUAUGCUAUCAACAUUUGUAGAGAGCACUCGAAGACGACAUCAUUUCAUUUUUCACACAGUGAGAUGUUUAUCACACUAGACGAUGUCUCGUGCCUGCUGCAUCUUUCGAUCAUGGGGAGACUGUUAGAUUACAACAAAAUUAACAUAGAUGACACAAUGGAGACGAUUGUAGACUAGCUUGGAGCUGACCCAGAGAAUGCCAUGCCAUACAUCGAAAAAUCCAUGAGCGCAUCGCACGCUCGAAGAUACAACAGAGUCGCCACCGAACUAUAUUUAUUCUAAAAGGAAAGAGAAAAUAUCGAUAAAAUCCAAGGGAAAGAGAAAUGGGUAAGGAAGUCGGUUAUGCAAGGGGAGGGUAUUAACAUCCCUCACAUUUGUUGUACUUAACGAGAACCAUUUUUAUUGUUCUUUGCUUGAAUGUGUGUUACUAUCUAAAGGUUACUUGCAAAUGAUAAAAGGGAAAAAAUAAGUUUAUAGUUAGUGUGCUCACCAAGGAUUCAAACCCUCGGGCCUACGUAUUCUCACAAUGCAAUGAGAAAAUCAGAGCUCCGUAGUUCGUGGUAGAAAAUAUAGAUUUGUUGGUUGAUUUUAGGGAACAAUUAUAAUCAUAUUCUAGAAGUGUAUAGACGUUAGCUGAUUAUGAUCCUUGUUCGGAUGCUCUAAACUUUUAGUCUGACUGCUAAUGAACAUAUUAUAACAGUUCUUUUGUGAAAAGAAAGAAAAUUGUUUUGAAAAAACGUUUGUGUGAUAAAAGAAAAAGAAAGAGUUGCUUGAAUAUAAUUAAAAGAAAAGUUGCUUGAACUGUAAAAUAAUUUGAAGUGUAAGAAGAGGAGUAGGAAAUGUAGAAAUGGGUGUGAAAUGUGUUGUGAAAUGACAAAGAAGUUGUUUGUGUAUGGUGACAGUAUUGUUUGAACCAAAAUUAUGUUGUUUGGACCCAUAAGAUAGGUGUGUCUGAGCCAAGGAGUGUGUAAACUAAGGAUGGGGUAUUUUAACCGAUAAACGGUGAUUAACCAUGCAUGAGGGUGUGUUAACCAAGGAGUGGUGAUUAACCCAUGAAUGAAAAUAUGUGGUAUUUUAACCAAUAGACGGUGAUUAACCAAUGCAGGAGUUAUAGGGUUUGUUAAUCGAGAAGUGGUGAUCAACCCAAAGAAUGAGAAUGUGGUAUUUUAACUGAUAUCCGGUGAUUAACCAAUGCGGAAAGUUGCCUGAGCAUGGAGGUAAUAUGGCAAUGCAUGAAAAAAUAACUUCAUCUUCUUCACUUCCAUGUUUGUCUUAUUCUUCUAAGCUUCCAUUGCUUUGCUCCACCACCGGAGGCGGAAGAGUUUUCCGGAACAGUCAAGUUGCAACAUAAAAAAUGCUCAUAUCCAUCUCCUCUUUAUAUAUAUCUCAUCAAUUCAAUUCACCACUCAACCAAUUUUCAGAAUUGCAUCAAGAAAGUGAUGAACCCUAACCUCUAAAACAAAAAUUAAAUGAUAGAGGGGAAGAAUCAAGCCGCCAAACCUUGGGGCUUUGUUUCUUCAAUGCAAGAGCUACAUUAUGGUAUCAAGAUUCAAGCAAACUGAGGCAAAAGAAAAUUCACCGACAUGCAAGACAUAGGUUUGUCUUGGAAAUUGUUGAAAUCUGAAGGUGCUGAAGAUGAAGAAAACCAGAGGUAUGCUACUUUGAACCUUUAAUCUUUUGCUUCUGCAAUGAACUUAUUCCUCUUCAAGAAUUAAUUACGUAAAAUUAUGAACUAGAUUAUUGCUGCUAUUGUUGAUUGUAUGAGUAUGAGAGUAGUAUGGAGUGUAGAAGGUUUAGCUCAAAUGGUGACAAACUUCAAUGUGAAGCUUGCUCCAAUGGUGGUAGAGCUUUGGUGAGGCGAGGGAGAUAAAUUGAGAGAGACAAUUCUGAAUUUAUAGUGGAAUGUUUAGAGAAUGAAUGAUUAUGGUGGUUGUUAUUAUCGUUGUUAUUGGUUGAAGAGUGUGGUGAGUUUAUAUAGAUGAAUUUCCCAACUGUUUCGGGCAUCUCUGUUAGAGGUUAGGGCAACAGUUAGUGUUAAUGGAUUCCAAGAGUAAGUUGGUUAUGAAAUUAACAGAGUUAGAGUUUCUGUUAGAUUGAAUUUGACAAUUGGAAUGGUCAAUGAAGUGGCAUUUAGGAACUGUUAUGACAUGUUGGUGAGGUUAGGAUUGAAGUGAAUUAGUGUAGUUCAAGUGUUGGUGAAUGUUUGUGAUGUUGUUGUAAUGCUUAGUUCAAAGAUAGGAAACUGCUAGUGUUGUUGCAUCAUGUUCAUGUGUUGUUAUGUGAACAUGUUAUAGGAAUUGGACUUGUUUUUUAGGGUUUAAAAUGGGACUGUGAUGCUGAAAUUAAGCUGAAAAUUGAAAAAUUAGCAGGUGUAACCGGUUACCGGGUUUUGUGUAAUCGGUUACUAGAAUGAAAAAAGGUGUUCUGGGUUGCUGAAUAAGUUGAUGAAACACAUGUGUAACCGGUUACCAGGUUUUGUGUAACCGGUUACCAUAAUGCAAACAUGCCUCUGGGUGUUGGAGAAAUACAUGUAGCCGGUUACUAAAAUGAAAACUUGGCUUUCUGGUGAGCUGAAGUAGGUGUAACUGAUUACCAGGUUAUCAACUCAAAAAUUGGCCCUUUUUAGUGUUUUGGUGCAUUGACUCAUGUGUGAAGCAUAAGGUUUUGGCCUUUUUCUCAAUGUACAUGUGAUUUUGCAGGGUUGGUGUUAUAUGUUUGUCGUGAAGCAUUAUCUAUGAAGGUUCAGCAAGAGGUGUGGAUUUGACAAGAAGAUAGACCAGGGCUUAGGAUAGGUUGACCUUGGUAAACUAUUUGACCAAAAAGUCAACAGUUGACCAAAGGUCAACUGUAAGUCAAAAAGAUGAAAUUUUGUAUGCAAAUUUGUAAUUUGGAUCCUUUGUAAUGAAAUAGAUUUUGAAAUGAAAGGUGUAUGUAAAUUUUGUUUCAAGAAAGCAAGGUUCCCUUCCAAAUUUACAUCUCUGAAUAUUUGAAUUUGCCUUGAAUAUGACUUUGAAUGAACCUAGAAUUUGAAUUUCUUGAUCACUUGAAUGAAGUGAUAUGCCAUGGAUCAAACAAAUCAAAGCCCAAGAUAAUCAUUAUCUUCCAUAUACUAUGCCAUGAUGUAAUCAACACAACCACAAGCAUAUACCGAAGAUUAAAGUUCCACAAACUUGAUUUACAAGAAAUGAAUCAACCAUCAUUGUUGUGCCAACAUCACUUUUGUAUCAUAAUUAUCAAAACUCUUGAAUCAAUGAUGUUUAUAUGAAGAAUGAAUGCAUAUGGCAUGGGCAUGCAAAUGAACUGAGGAAAGAAAUGAAUCAACCAUCAUUGUUGUGCCAACAUCACUUUUGUAUCAUAAUUAUCAAAACUCUUGAAUCAAUGAUGUUUAUAUGAAGAAUGAAUGCAUAUGGCAUGGGCAUGCAAAUGAACUGAGGGUUAAAAGUCAGAUGAAAAAUGAAAAAGGGAGGACAAAUUUUGGGGUAUGAUAGUUGCCCAUAUUUAAUCUUCUUUGACCUGUAUGUACGAAUGGUGAUGACCGUUCGGGAACUUAAGGUAGAAGAGGAUUAAGGGCUCAUUUGUUUUGGCUUUUUUUAAAUGAUUUUUAUAGUGUUACAUAUUUUAGUGUAAAAAAAAUUUACAAAGAAACUUUUCAUAAAAGUUUCAAAUUAAAAUUUGGUUUGAAUAGUUAUUCUUAAAAUAUUAUUUUAGAUAUUUUAUCAUUUUAUCGAAACUUUUUUUGGAUAUCAAAUUUUCAAAAAAUCACUUAAUUUUGAAGCUAUUUCAAUUAGCUUUUCAUAAAAAUCAUUUUUAAGAUACACUUUUUUGAAAAAAAUUUGUGAUUUCGACUAUGUUUUGAUAUUCAAUAAUAUAUAUUUAUGUUAUAGAAUGAACAAUUCAAUCUUUUAAUUUAUAAAAAACAAAUUUAAAAAACUUAUAAUAUUUUAAAAGACAUUUUUGUAGAAUCCAUUUUCAAAAAUACAAAGAAAAAAUCCAUUUUUUUAAAGUUAAAACAAAUUGGCCCUAAAUACAAGAAUAUCCAAAAAUUUGUCUGUGAGGAUGGAGUGAAUGAGGUGUGAGGAAGGGAAGUGUAUUGGGUAUUUGUUUAUGACAGGUAAACUUUUGUGAUGUCAUCUGAUGGGGAUUGAAUGAAAUAUUAUGUUGGGGAAAUAACUUAGUCGCAAGGGAAAUGUUUGAUAUGCAUGAUAUAUGUGUAAUACCCCAAAAUUUACCCUUCAUUCUUCUUGGAAGCAUGAGAUUGUGUUUCACAUUGCAUUAGCAUCAUACUAGGUCAUACUCAUUGCAUAUUGCAUUAGUGACUUGGGAAAUCAGGGUUUUAUUGAUCACUCCUCAACAGAAGGAGCCUACACAGAGCAAGACUGAGAAUUUAACUUCAUUCUCCAAUUAUACAAGUCUCAAAGAGUUCCAUAUGUCUUAUUAUGUUCCUCAGUUCAUCAGUGGGAGAUUCAGAACUCUCAGAGUGUGCAUAUGGAGUUAAUCAGAAAUCAGGGUUUCAAGUUGUGGCGGAAAUUGGGUUGGAGAGAAGCGUAAUCGAAGAUUUCUUUGGCGAGAAGAGGGUCUGAUUGGGAAGCAAUGAGUUUCUGGACUCUGGUUGGAGAACCGAUUGGAGAAGAAGAAGAAGAAUGGAAUUGGUGUUGCAGUGAAGAAGAAGAUGAUGAGAAUACGCCAUUUGAAGCAAUGGUUCUUAGAUUUUUUGAUAACACUGUAAACGAUCGGUGCAUCGUUUUUUCAGAUAACUGACAACAGAGUGAAUGAGUGAAUGAGUGAAGCAAUGGUUUGGCGGCGAGUAGCGAAUCUGUGGGUGGGUGGGUUAAACAUAUUCCUUCGUUCCAACAACAAACAACUAUACUAUUUAUUUAUUUAUUUAUUUAUUUAUUUAUUACGCCCAAUAAAAUAAUAAUAAUAAAAAUAAAUAAAUAGAACCUAAAACCCAUCACUCUCUCUCACUUCGUUUUUUCCGCUUCCAUCUCUAACCAACGCAACCACCACCGUCUUCUCCUCUGUAAGCUCUUCCAUUCUUCAUCACUUUUUCUUUAAUAUAGAUUUUACUAUUAUUAAUAUACUCUGCAAUUUAUCUCAACUAGUUAUGCUAUUACUAUACCCUUCAUCAAAUCAAACCUUCAUCAGGGUUUAUCUUUCUUCAUAAAUCUCAUCAUUUUCUACCAAAAACUAUCUUCAGUUAUUCAUUAUAUCCUUUAGGAAUCUAGGUGUUGUUAAUUAUUCUUGAAACAAACCAAGAAAUCUCUAUUUGAUGGGGUUUUGGGGUUUGAUUUGACAGCUCUAGGGUUUUGUCAUUUUGUGCUUAUGAUUUUGUUUUUUUUGUUAUUGUGCUUGGCUGGGAUUUUGAUCUCGUUGGAGAUUUUCCUGCAAAGACACAAUCUUUCAUUGUUUUGUUGAUUGGGCACAAAUCAUAUUUUGAAGGUGUUCCGGUGAGGUGAGUAUCCGGUGGUCCGUGUAUGACAUGUGUCGAUGUCAAUAUGUGUGGUUACUUCCGUUACUUUCAUUUUUAAAAAAAUUCUUAUUGGUGCUUUGUGUUUCAAUCGGUGUUUCGUAGGGGGAAAUUGAGUGGUGUUUUAGAGUAUGUCUUUAGGACUGGUUAUGAAAGAAUUUUUGUUUUAUGAACAGCAAUUGAUCGUUAGAAUAUUGACUUCGAGCAUAAAAUGAGGUCAUUUUGUUAGGUAUGAUGUUUUGAUUGUAAACUUGGAGCUUCGAGUGAAGAGCAGAGAGUUACAAUCUUGCUUCUUCUCAUACAGCUCCAUAAAACAAUAGCCGUUUAUCAAACAGGAAUGAAACCAAUUUCAUUCUUUUUGUAAAUUUUUAUGGCAUAAAUUCGUUUGACAUUAUCAACAACAUUGGUAUUAAAUCAGUUUACGCAGAUGAUAGUUGAAGGUUUUCGCUAGUAUUUUUUUCUUCACCAAAGUUUGAACUCUGGUCCUUUAAUCCUUUGCUCAAACCAGUUAAACUACCCAACCUAUGAAAUAAGCAAAGAUAAGUGUUAGAAACUAAGACCUGGCAAGCUAAACAAUAAAUGCUUGGACGCAAAGAUAAGCGUUAGAAUUUAAGGCCUGGCAAGCGAAACAAUAAAAGCUUAGACUUAACUGCUACUGUGGGAAUGGCCACGUUCUGCUUUUUUUCUUUCUUUCUUUCUUCCUUCAGAAUUGGUAAUCUAAGGGUGUAAAUCUAUUAACACUUCUCGCACUCUUCAAUAAUUGUGUCUUGUAUAAUAAAAUAAACCACUUUAUUUUGUUAAAUAUAAAUUCUAUUAUAUUGAUUUAUUUUCAGGGCAACAAUGGCAUCCAUCUCAGCUGUGAAUAUUUCCCCACUAUGCAUGUUUCAACCCGCAAACCGCAUUCAAUCAACCAGCACUACCUUAGUGAAGUGCCCUUCCGCUUUUGGCUCUAUGAGAAGUGUUUCCAGAUCUUUUGGCUUGAAGUCAUCCUCUUCAUAUAGAACAACUGCCAUGGCUGCUUACAAGAUUAAGCUAAUUAGACCAGAUGGAGAAGAGGACGAGUUUGAAGCCGCUGAUGAUGUCUACAUCUUAGAUGCAGCAGAGAAUGCCGGAGUCGAACUCCCUUACUCGUGCCGUGCUGGAGCAUGCUCUACUUGUGCUGGAAAGGUUGUUUCUGGCUCAGUGGAUCAAUCUGAUGGCUCAUUCUUGGAUGAUACUCAACUUAAGGAAGGCUUUGUGCUUACCUGUGUUUCCUAUCCCACAGCAGACUGUGUUAUCCAAACUCAUAAGGAAGGUGAUCUCUACUGAGAAAUUGUGGCUUGAAAGUUAAAACCAUUGCUCGAGGAAACUGAGAAUUUAAGGUAGAUUUUAUGGCGGAUUUUGCUUUAGAAUCUAUCUUUCUUUUAGCAUUAUUAAUAGUGAUAUGGGAUAAUGGAUAUUUGAUUGUGUGCAAGCACUAGUUUUUAGAAGAUGGUAAGUUUGACAUUUAAAUGUGAUCAAGGGUGUUAUUUUAGUUAUGAAGAACAUAAUGAAGUAUUUGGAGGAAGAAACAACCUUUCAUAAUUGGUAGAGAAAUUUCACUUUCUUGUUAAAAUAAACAAAAUCUAUCUUGUUAUAUCAAUUGUCAAUAGCUGCUAUUUUAACUUACCUCAACUUAUUUCAUUAAUUGAAAGAUGUGGCAAUUUUCAACUAGGGAA
rnacentral:lncRNA from 1 species